rnacentral:lncRNA from 1 species
CAGGUUCAUUCAGGCCCCAAAAUCUUCAUUAUUUUUUAUUCUUGUAGCUAUUUACAUAUUUAUUUUUAAAUGACUAUUGUGGUGGUUUGUAGUCAAACUUAUGGCAUACAAGUGUGAAAGCAGCAAAAUACUAUUAAAUCUUUUUUUUUUAUUGUUGCUAAUAAGGCUUUUAUUGAAACAUAACUAGUAUGUUACAGAAGUUAGAACUGUACGGUAUGUUCAGUUCCGGUUACAUCAGAAGCUAAAAGCGAUAAGACAACAAUAGGAGGAUUUUCAAAUAUCCGUAGUUCUUUUCCCAUGCUUGGCUAAUACAUCCGCUACAUCAUUACCCUCUCUGAAUGUUUGUUGAAUCGUGGUCACCUGGAGUUCCUUGAGCAUCGACCUGCAUGCAAAAAUGAUAUGUGAGUAUAUUGUUGGAGCAUUUGAUAAGAUGUGUAGCAGUUCACUUGUAAUGAUCUAAAAUUAUGAGCAUUUGCUAGCAAUACACCAUGAUAUAAGACUAGCAAUUCACCUUGUAGACCCAUACACCCAGGUGUCUGAGACAUCGCGAAAAACUUUGACUGCCCCACCCUUAUGAGACAAAUUAACAAAGGCUCCAUCGAUAUUUAUCUUAUAGUACCCUUGGGGGAGGGGUUGCCAUUUGAUUGCAAUGCUAGUAGUUAGUAUGUGUUUUUGAGUGUAUGUGCUAGCUAGGUAAUAAAAUUGGGCUACCUGAGUAUAUAUGUUGUGGAAAUUAACGUGAGCUGGGUGUGAUUGAAGAUAUUAUUAUUAUGGUUGAUCUAGAUCUGCCAUAAGUUCAUUGAAACUACAAUAUGUAAUGGAAUAACAUUAGGAGGAGAGAUGAUUGAAAUACAUAGAUGUUUGAUCCAAUUUGUAGUAAAGUAUGGUGGAAGAGGAAUAUUAAAGUGGUGCCAUGCAUUGAAGACGGUGGUAAAAUGAAAAAAAUAUAUGAUUAAUAUCUUCAUGUGCUUGUUUGCACAAGGGACAUGUGAGAUCAGUAGAAAUGUUGCGAUUAGAGAGAAAUGUGUGGGUUGGUAGUUUGGCUUGUAGCAUGAGCCAGAGGAAGUGUUUAUUUUUGUAGGUAGAAUAUAUCUUCCAUACCCAAGUGAGCUGGGAACGGAGUUGUUCCGUGUAUGGAAGAAACGUUAUUACGAUGUAUGCAGUAGAGGUCGAGAAAUCUAUUGUUGAUGAGGGAUUCUAAAAAGGCCUUUAAAACUAAAUGUAGAGCUCAACAAAGUAUUAGUGAUGGGUGAGAAUAGGGAAUGUGAGAUGUCAAAGGAAAGUGUUUGGAGGUUUCACGAGCCAUUUUGGACGAUAGAGUUGAGUGGGAGGUUAUAUUUAUUUUUGUUGAAUGGUACAUGAAUAAGAUGAGAUAAAGUGUGGAGCGUAGGUAGCUAGUAGUCAUACAAAAGUUGUAUUUGAUUACCAUUGGAUAUAUUCCAAUCUUAUCCCUGUUUGAAAAAAAUGUAUGCUUUUG